GACGAACGCUGGCGGCGUGCUUAACACAUGCAAGUCGAACGCUGAACCCGCUUCGGUGGGGGAUGAGUGGCGAACGGGUGCGUAACACGUGGGCAACCUGCCCCCGGCUCUGGGAUAACUCCAAGAAAUUGGGGCUAAUACCGGAUGUGACCGCUGGCCGCAUGGUCUGGUGGUGGAAAGGGUUUCCGGCUGGGGAUGGGCCCGCGGCCUAUCAGCUUGUUGGUGGGUAGUGGCCUACCAAGGCGACGACGGGUAGCCGGCCUGAGAGGGUGACCGGCCACACUGGGACUGAGACACGGCCCAGACUCCUACGGGAGGCAGCAGUGGGGAAUAUUGCGCAAUGGGCGGAAGCCUGACGCAGCGACGCCGCGUGGGGGAUGACGGCCUUCGGGUUGUAAACCUCUUUCAGCAGGGACGAAGCGCAAGUGACGGUACCUGCAGAAGAAGCACCGGCCAACUACGUG
rnacentral:rRNA from 1 species